rnacentral:lncRNA from 1 species
CAAUUUUCGUAUUGACGAAAAUAGACUUAAAUGAAAUGGCGUAAAUAACCUUUUCAAUUCUUUACACCACAAUCUCUCACAACUGCAGAUUCAACUGAAGGUUUCUCUAAAAAAACAAGGUACGGGGUGAUCCAUUCAUAGAGAAACUAGAAAUGAAGCUUAACAAAUCUUUCUAACAAACAAGAACGCCAAAUGAGAAAAACUUGUAUCUCUCCAUGGAAGUAUCUCUCAUGCCAAAUAGAUCGCUUACUAAAUAAUUAAUAACACGACAAGAAAUCUUAAAGAAACGACAAUGUUUCAACAAAUAAGAUCAUGAAUUUCAAUAAAAAGAAGAAGAACCCAUAAUAAAUCUGAGAGGAGAUUUCUCUUAAACUCCAAGGCAAAACAAGAAAGACCUAUUUUUUUUAGCUUUUUUCUCUCUCCAAAAGGGCGCUACCCACCCAGAAUCCCAGAUGACAGUCAAGAAUUGCACUAAGUGGUGUACAACAAAUAGAAGGAAAAAAAUCCCUCCUUUUUGAGAAUGGAAUGUUGCUUCUGUACUUUGAUCGUGUGCGUGUGAAACAAUAUUUUAUUAUUUGACAAGAAAUGAGAGAGAGAAAUAUGAGAGAAUUGUCCAGAGCUCAGCCCCUAGCCCAUUUCCUUGGCAUUAAUAAAAGUCUUACUUGUUCUUCAAGCUCCACCCACCGUAGCAGAGGAGGCAGAUGGAAGAUUCACCCACCAUAGCGGAGGAGGCAGAUGGUGGGGAGCAGGAACAGAGUAGGCAGAGUCGUAAAGAGGAUGUGUUGUGUGGUGUAUUGUAUUCUUUUUACAGUUAACUUUGGGCUUAUUUGUAAAUUAGUAGUGGUG